GCCGUCAAUUGAAAUCACUACCAAAAGAGAUGCGUUCCCUUAAAAACCUGCAGAAAUUCUAUAUCUGGGAUUGUCAACAUCUAGAGAAAAUAUGCCGACAGAAAACAGGGGAAGACUGGCCCAGGAUUGCUCAUAUCCCACAAGGGAGACCACAUAUACAGUCGAUGAUGAUGUACAUGAAACUCAUCAUUUUACUUGGGGUUGAGGCGAGAUUUGAUAUGAUAUCUCUCCCAGAGGAGCUGAUUCAACAUGUUUCCAUGAUCUAAAGUCUCAACAUUAGACAUCGCUCUGUUUUUGAAACAUUACAACACUGGAUAGGCAGCCUCCCCUCAGUUACAGAACUUGGAAUUCAUGGCUGCCAGAAGGUGCUAUGAUGUCUCCCAGAGGAGCUGCCUCAACAUGUUUCCAGGAUCCAAACUCUCAAAAUUGAAUACUGCACUGGUUUUGCAAUAUUCCUGCCCUGGAUAGGUCGCUUCACCUCACUUAUGGACCUUCAUAUUUGUGACUGCGCUGAAUUGGCAUCACUUUCAGAAGAGAUGCAUUCCCUCAAAAACCUUCUGACACUAAAAAAUCUUUCAUUGUCAGCACCUGCUUGAGGAUGCCAAAAAGAAACAUUUCAGGUUCAAGAACACAGAGAGCUAUACUUGGUGGAGAUUUCAUCAAUAUAGAGAGACAUUUUAGAUUUCAACUUGCUUAAGACGCUUGUGAUUAUUUCUUCUUGGCUCAACUUGAAAUCAUUGCCUACGUUCUUCCAUUUGCUACCUCAAAAUCACCUAACAAAAGUUUUGGAUUGCCUAAAAAUUUUCUCAUGGCCCAUAAAUUCGUAUCUAUCAGAUGGCUGAUAUACAAA